rnacentral:lncRNA from 1 species
GGUCAUGUUAUUUAAACUCCAUUUUCUCACUUGAACCUCACAGGCCUGAAAGCAAAUGGAGCAACUGAUCACCUGGUCAGUUGCUAUUAUGAGUUUUGUUCUUUUGGAGUGUGAGUUCAGGGUGUUUCGAUGGAAGGAUGCUUAGAUGGAAAAGGGAUCAGGCUGGAUGUCUAGAUUUUUCUCCUUAAUUUAAAGCUCUGAAGAGAUUUCGUGUUUCUUUUACAAGAGUUAUAAAGAAGGAAUUAAGAAUCUUUUAAAAACAGCCGGGCGUGGUGGCGCACGCCUUUAAUCCCAGCACUCGGGAGGCAGAGGCAGGCGGAUUUCUGAGUUCGAGGCCAGCCUGGUCUACAGAGUGAGUUCCAGGACAGCCAGGACUACACAGAGAAACCCUGUCUCAAAAACACCAAAAAAAAAAAAGAAUCUUUUAAGGAAGUCAUAGACAUAUAGACAUUUAGUUGUUAAGUAAGUAUGCUCUAAGGCAUCCUUCUUUAGCCCUUUAGACUCCCAAUCUAAUUUCACUCUAACUUAAUCACUUUAUAUGUACUUUCUUGUGUUUAUCAAUAUUUUCAGUUACCCUAUGAAAGCAUAUACAACCCAAUCAUUUGACAAUUCUUCAUUGAAUUGGUGAGUUGAUUAGUUUGUCAUGUUUUGGUUCCAUAGUCCUGUUGAUUAUACUCAGGCCUUUGUUAUUGCUACCCAAGCACUCUGACACUGAGUUAAUUCUGAGAUUAAUGCAUAUUGUAUAUACAACCAACCUAAUAGUAUCAUUUUUAUGGAAUAAAAUAGAAAUGGUCACUAUAGUAAGAAUAGUGUAAGGACUUUGUCAUAAUCAACAUUGUUACUUUUGGAGUAUUUCUCAAUAUUCAGAUUCUAGGCAAGUGCAUGCAUGCAUGUGUGUGUGUGUGUGUGUGUGUGUGUGUGUGUGUGUGACACAUUUUAGAAUCUGUUUUUCUUCUAAAUACAAUAAUUUUUGUUCUUCCUUAAGUUAUAUUUAAUGUUUUCUAUUUGAAUCAAGUCUUAGCUCUAGAGCUGACCACAGCAUGUUAGUUAUUUUUUUAAUAGGUCUAUGCCCUAUGCAAAAUUUCAUUGUGACAGACCAGAUAUGAAAUUAUAAGGAAUGCCAACAUAAUAUUAGCAAUAUAAUCUAGUAAAGUAGCAAACAGAAGAGAGCAAGAAGCCUGGAGCAAAAGUAUCUGAAAUGGUAAAAUGUAAGAAGAGUGUCAAAGACAUUUGCAAUCAUGCCUAAUGAGUCAAUACAGCCAGAGUAGCCCUUGGUGGAAGGGAGAACAAGCUCUCCACAGUGAACCUGGCUUUGGUAGAAGCAGAACUAUUGAGAGUCUGACUGACAGUUGACCUCAACCUGAUUAGUACUGACUGUGUGAAAGCAGGAAACUUCAUUGGAGAAAUCUGCUUCUCUGUCCACUGAGAUGUAGUCAGGCAAACAAACAACUAAACUAAACAAAAUCAAAACAAAACAAAAAACUUGAAUCUUCAAAAAGAACUUCAUUGUUUACUAAAAUAACCUACCAAAAAUGAAUUCACUUAUAGUGUUGUUAUUUUUACAAAUAGCUUCACACUAGUAUUAUGAAAUCAAUGUUUAAGAAAAUAAAGGUUCAGCAUUAGUAUCAAUAGAUAAUGUUCAUCAAUGUUAACAGACCUCUGAAAUAGUAAAUAGGAGGGAGGUUCACUGACUGCUCACAUAUGGCAUGUUUUAUAAGCAAGCACAGAGAGUCAAUUUGAAGACUUUAGAUUCUAGUAAAGGAUGGUCACUGUAAAUACACUCCAGAUAGAUUUGGCUCAUUAACUGAACACACAUCUAACACCAUCUUGGGAAGUGUCUGGAAAUCAUCAUCACAUCAGGAUGUUAGUCAGCCAUUCUGUUAUUGGUUAUUCCUAGGAAAAUAAUGGGUCAUUUCAUGACCUAAUAAUCUGAGUUUGUUUGGCAGAUUUUAUACUUCAAGGCCUCUAUGAACUGUUUUGUAAACUUAGAGAUAGUUGCUUUGAUCCAGGCAUAGAAUAAAACAAGAACACCUACUAAAUAGCAGCUAAAGUGCCUUUCAUCUUUCCUUCAAAGCCCAAAAUAAAAAGAAUCACUGCAAAGUAAUGCGUUUCUUGUCCCUUAGAUUUUUAACUUUCUUGAUUACUUGGAAAUUUCUAACAUCAUUGACUCCCAAAGUCAAUAGUAUUAGAAUUUCUUCCACAUUAGAGAGUCUGAAUUAAAAUGAAGUAAAUAUUUCAAUAAUAUGUUUUUUUUGUUGCUUUUAAAAUAAUCCUCCUGUUGUCACAGUAACUAUGUCUUAAAUUUUAUAUACAUAAAUUUAUUAAAACAUACACUUGUGCUCUAUAUUUCAACAAUUGAAAUUUCUCCCCUAAGUAUAGAAUUCUCACCAGAUGUUUAUUAAAUAUCUGUGCAUAGAUGCAUUAUGCCUUGUGCCAAAAAGUAACACUACAAAUCAACAUCAAGAGAAAAGUCAGGUUGAUGACGCUGUUUUUCUUCAGAUUCAUCACUGUGAUUCUUGGUCCAAAGGGGGCAGCUCUCUAGAAUGGAUCCCUUUGGCUCCCAGGGGACUCUAGUGAAACUUCAGUUAAACAUGCCAACCUUCAUGGUGGACUCACUAAAGGCAUAUAUAGGUUCUGCUAGGACACUUAUUUGUGUUUCUUAUGCACUGUAAGGGAAAAAAAAGUCUGUUUCAAAUCCUAUUUGUCCCUUAUCUCUGUUUGUUCAGUUGUUUUUAAUAUCACACACUGAAGGCAUUUCAAUAGCAGUUACUCCGUGAGUCAUUUGUUUUCCUUCAGCAGGCUGUUGCCUACUGAAUUGUAAAACAGCUCUGACUAUUUGCAUCCUGCAGAUGGAGCGGCAUAUAAACACUCUCAGAUAUUUCUGGUAAGUAUGAAAAAAAAUAUCUUAUUUGUCCUUUCUGUGAAUAAAUAAGAGAGUGUCAAAUUUUAUAGACUAAUAAAUUUAUAUGCCGGCACUGACAUUGAAUCUCCCAUGGCUUGCUAUGUCAUAGAUCCUGAGAAACACUUUCCUUUUUAUUUCAGAUGAAUUCUAAGUCAAAUAGAAGCUCAAUAAGAUAAAAAUAAUAAAAAAAACAGAAUUUGAUUUCAUUGUUUAUGUCUGCCUAAUAUUCUAAUUCAGUUGCAAUGUGCUAUGAGGAAAUGCAAUUUUCUUGCUUCCCCAGCUUAUUACUCAACAGUCACUCACAUACAUGCUCCUGUAUGUCACAGAGGUUUCUACUAAUGAGUUAAAUGCUCUUUAGUAUUUACUUUGCAAUAGUUGUGUCCUUAACAGAUCUCGCGUUAAUUCUGAAACCAUACUAUUGAAGCUUUACAGACAACUGCUUAUAAAAAGUACAUCUAAAUAUCUACCCUAUAAAUGAAAACUUUUGAAAUAUGUAUAUGUGUUGACUUAGGGACCCAUGCAGGUCAGACUCAGACAUAGAAUCCUACAUGGAAAAUACUGGUUCAUAUCAGUCCACGAGAAAGAAAAUCUUUGUUCUUGUCCAAUAUAGGAUUAAUUUGUGUUUUAUAUCUAAAUUGGGUUGCAUAUUUUAUGCUGUUUAGUUUUUAUAAUCAGUCGAAUAAUGAACCUGUAUAAUAACCAUCAUUGAUAGCUUAAUGCUGAUUUUAGGGUUGCAAAAUAUAAUAUCAUAUCUUCCAACUUCUUCAUGUAUUUCUCUGUGCCCCCAAAUCAAUAAGUUAUACACUUCGUAAAGUAAAUAAGAAGAAAUAAUUUGGAUGUCAGUUUGUGUCUGAAGCACUUAAAGAUUCACUUUGCUUUCUUUACUGCUAUGAGCAAAAGGAAGUUUCUGGACUGGUUACAGGUUGCUUUCUACUCUUCUUUCCUGAUGUUAAUUUUAAUAAGAAAUCCACGAUAUUUCUUUUUUCAAUGUGACAUAAAUACAAAUCUUAUUUUAUUUGUCAGUUUUUAUUUGAUUUCUGGAGACUAAAUUUUGUUAAACAAGGGAUGGUUGAAGGAAAGUAAAACCGACAUAUAGACAUUUAGAAUUAACUUUGUUAAUGUUCCAAAUGAAUGCUUGUAAGCGUUCCCAAGGCAAGUUCUUCUUAAGUUACUGCAAAAACCCUCCUCAGCUCUUCUCGGAAGUUAUGUCAUGAGAAAGGUUAAUGAACUCUGUCCCCAUGUCCUCGAUUGUCUCAAUCAUCGCUAUCAAUAAUCAAAAGUAACAGUAUUUGUUGCCCAUACAGAGAAAUAAAAGGAUGUGUCUGUGGGCGUGUGUCUUUCUAAAGUUUGCUAUACCAUGUACUGCAUAUGUGUCUUCCCAGGUUUAAUUUUCUAAUUUAGCAAUCAUCAUUGUUGAUUCUAAAUUCUUAGAUCUAGUUUAUAUGUGUGGGUAAAAAUGUUCAUGUCUCUGCAUUAUUCAGAAACACGGAUAAAAACAACAGGUGUGACCAGAGGUGGUUUGAGUAGUCCUGCAGACUUAAUCUAUGUAAAAUAACAGAACACAGCAGAUCUCACAGUUGCGGGUUUUAGAAUCCUGAAUUUCCAUACUGUUUCAUUGAGACAGUUCUGAUGUUAGCUUAUAGCUUUAGAUAGUCUUUAUUUAUUUUUAUUUUUUGCCAUUUUUACCACUUCUGUGUUAGGGAUUCCAUUGAGUAACUUACAAGUGCUAAGGAAGCUGUUAUCGAUGAACCAAACUCUUUGGCUAGGAAAGCUUAGUGGCCAGUCAUUAUCUGCUAGGUUACUACAUCAGUUAUAGCAUACAAAUUAGCCCUAACAUAUGCACACAGGUAUAAACACACUAGAUACACACAUAUGUAUAUAUGUAUAUAUGCAUAAACACACAUAGAUAUAUACCCAUACACACAUGACUAUCAAAGGGUCACUAAAUUCUACGUGGCUGUGUUACUGCACUUCGGAAACUGAUUUCAAACCAGAGUUCCAUUUGAAGUUCCAUCUAUCCUUUGCGUAUUGACAUAGGUCCUCCAGAGCUUCAUUCCUUUGUUGAGGAGUAGUCAAUUUGUCAGUAAGAGAUGAUUUUCCAGCCUGCCUUCCUCUAUAGAGUUCCUCAAAAGUGAAUGAUGAUUAUAUGCAGAAACAGAGAACAAACUACAGACACAAGCAAUUAUUUAAGUCUGCAGAGCUAUGAAUCUUAAGCUUAGUCUUUGAUAAGGAGUUCACACUAAAUUUAAUGUUACAGAGGAGUUUCCAGCUGUUGGCUUGGUAUGAAGGAGUGGAGCAUCUUUAUGACUGAUUACUGUCCUCAGGAGAAGAGAAGGGAAGUGGAGCGAUGCUGUGUCUUUCCAAGGCAUGGAGUGCUGUGCAUAUUCUGUGGCACUGAUUUGAGAAGGCUCAUAACUUUAAUGGCAUCCUUUAUCAGUUGUCAUGACUCUAGGCUUUGAAACCGCUCAAACCUAGGGAGGGACAAAAAAGAAUUCGUGUCACCAGAGAUACAGAGAUACCAUAGCAUAGGAAGAUUAUCCAUUUUAGAAAAUUUCACAUUGACGCAAAGCCACUUGUGGCUUGUCACUCUAGGUAAAUGACACAUCUAGACUUCGUUUGCCAGCUGUACGUAAAGAUUUUGGCUUUAUGGUUUC